AUUGAACGCUGGCGGCAUGCUUUACACAUGCAAGUCGAACGGUAACAGGCCUUCGGGCGCUGACGAGUGGCGAACGGGUGAGUAAUGCAUCGGAACGUGCCCAGUCGUGGGGGAUAACGCAGCGAAAGCUGUGCUAAUACCGCAUACGAUCUAUGGAUGAAAGCGGGGGACCGUAAGGCCUCGCGCGAUUGGAGCGGCCGAUGUCAGAUUAGGUGGUUGGUGGGGUAAAGGCUCACCAAGCCAACGAUCUGUAGCUGGUCUGAGAGGACGACCAGCCACACUGGAACUGAGACACGGUCCAGACUCCUACGGGAGGCAGCAGUGGGGAAUUUUGGACAAUGGGCGCAAGCCUGAUCCAGCAAUGCCGCGUGCAGGAAGAAGGCCUUCGGGUUGUAAACUGCUUUUGUACGGAACGAAACGGCGAGCUCUAAUACAGUUUGCUAAUGACGGUACCGUAAGAAUAAGCACCGGCUAACUACGUGCCAGCAGCCGCAGUAAGAC
rnacentral:rRNA from 1 species